UACGUAGGGUGCGAGCGUUAAUCGGAAUUACUGGGCGUAAAGCGCGUGUAGGCGGUUGCCCAAGUCGGGUGUGAAAGCCUUGAGCUCAACUCAAGAAAUGCACUCGGUACUGGGUGACUAAAGGACCGGAGAGGAUAGUGGAAUUCCCAGUGUAGUGGUGAAAUACGUAGAGAUUGGGAAGAACACCAGUGGCGAAGGCGGCUAUCUGGACGGUUUCUGACGCUAAGACGCGAAAGCGUGGGGAGCAAACAGG
rnacentral:rRNA from 1 species